rnacentral:rRNA from 1 species
AUUAGCUAGUUGGUGAGGUAAUGGCUCACCAAGGCGACGAUCCCUAGCUGGUCUGAGAGGAUGAUCAGCCACACUGGAACUGAGACACGGUCCAGACUCCUACGGGAGGCAGCAGUGGGGAAUAUUGCACAAUGGGCGCAAGCCUGAUGCAGCCAUGCCGCGUGUAUGAAGAAGGCCUUCGGGUUGUAAAGUACUUUCAGUUGUGAGGAAGGGGGUGUUGUUAAUAGCAACAUCUCUUGACGUUAGCAACAGAAGAAGCACCGGCUAACUCCGUGCCAGCAGCCGCGGUAAUACGGAGGGUGCGAGCGUUAAUCGGAAUUACUGGGCGUAAAGCGCAUGCAGGUGGUUCAUUAAGUCAGAUGUGAAAGCCCGGGGCUCAACCUCGGAACUGCAUUUGAAACUGGUGAACUAGAGUACUGUAGAGGGGGGUAGAAUUUCAGGUGUAGCGGUGAAAUGCGUAGAGAUCUGAAGGAAUACCAGUGGCGAAGGCGGCCCCCUGGACAGAUACUGACACUCAGAUGCGAAAGCGUGGGGAGCAAACAGGAUUAGAUACCC